CCUACGGGAGGCAGCAGUGGGGAAUAUUGCACAAUGGGGGAAACCCUGAUGCAGCGACGCAGCGUGCAUGAAGAAGUAUUUCGGUGUGUAAAGCUCUAUCAGCAGGGGAGAAAAUGACGGUACCUGACUAAGAAGCCCCAUCUAACUACGUGCAAGCAGCCGCGGAAAUACGUAGGGGGCAAGCGUUAUCCGGAUUUACUGGGUGUAAAGGGAGCGUAGACUGGGGAACAAGUCAGAAGUGAAAACCCGGUGCUCAACCCUGGGAGUGCAUUUGAAACUGUUUGGCUGGAGUGCAGGAGGGGUAAGCGGAAUUCAUGGUGUAGCGGUGAAAUGCGUAGAUAUUAGGAGGAACACCAGUGGCGAAGGCGGCUUACUGGACUGUAACUGACGUUGAGGCUCGAAAGUGUGGGGAGCAAACAGGAUUAGAUACCCUUGUAGUC
rnacentral:rRNA from 1 species